UACGUAGGGGGCAAGCGUUGUCCGGAUUUAUUGGGCGUAAAGAGCGUGUAGGCGAUUUGAUAGGUCCGUUGUGAAAACUCGAGGCUCAACCUCGAGACGCCGGCGGAAACCAUCAGGCUAGAGUCCGGAAGAGGAGAGUGGAAUUCCUGGUGUAGCGGUGAAAUGCGCAGAUAUCAGGAAGAACACCCGUGGCUAAGGCGGCUCUCUAGUACGGUACUGACGCUGAGACGCGAAAGCGUGGGGAGCGAACAGG
rnacentral:rRNA from 1 species